rnacentral:lncRNA from 1 species
UUUGAUUUACCUAGUGAGUUUAGACUAAACUAGUGAAUAUAGGUAAAAAAAGAGUUUAUUGAUAUUGAAUUUGAUAAAUAUAAAUAUCAAUGUAAUGAAUUUAUCAAGGCCGAACCUCACCACCGAAAUUCGCUUGAUUGAUACAUGUAUUUAGCAAUUCAACAUAGAUCCAAGAUAUUUCAUCGAAUCGCUGAUGAAAAGAUUCUAUUUGUCCC